rnacentral:rRNA from 1 species
UACGUAGGGUGCGAGCGUUGUCCGGAAUUAUUGGGCGUAAAGGGCUCGUAGGCGGUUUGUCGCGUCGGGAGUGAAAACAUCUGGCUUACUGGGUGCUUGCUUUCGAUACGGGCAGACUAGAGGUAUGCAGGGGAGAACGGAAUUCCUGGUGUAGCGGUGAAAUGCGCAGAUAUCAGGAGGAACACCGGUGGCGAAGGCGGUUCUCUGGGCAUGACCUGACGCUGAGGAGCGAAAGUGUGGGGGAGCGAACAGG